rnacentral:misc_RNA from 1 species
AAGUCGUAACAAGGUUUCCGUAGGUGAACCUGCGGAAGGAUCAUUAAAACGUAUCCAACGUUAACCAACCGUGAACUUGUCCCCUCCCUCAGUAGGAGAGUUGAGUUGCGUGUGCGAAGUGGAUGGGGCGCAUUCGUGCGUCGUCGUCACGUGGCCACUGAGGUCUUUUUGGACUUCGACAACAUACUCCGUCUGAGGCUUUUUUUGUCUCUCUUCUCAAUGCUCUCUAUCACGAGCGAGAGGAGGGGCGUCAUCGACUCAUUUUUUAACACACCAUUUUCACCCCCUUUUUUGCUAGUUGAUUUUUUCAUGCUGAGAAGAGCGAAAGCUCUUUUCAUCACGUUUCUUAAUUGAACGUAAAAUACAACUCUUAGCAAUGGAUAUCUAGGUUCUC